GACAAAAUAUAUUUAAAGUAACUUUAUUCAUGCUUAUUUCAUAGUUUUUAUUCUAUUUAUUCAAAAGAAACCCUAUUUUAUGAUUUAUUUUUUUUGUAAAACUGAUGAAAAUGGGAUACAGGAAAUGUUUGGAGUUUGCUGGUUAAACUGUUUGCCACUGGCCAAUAUGCCAGUACUACGCGACAUGAAAAAAGAGCUGUAUUUUCACUAUUCGUGGUCACAAUCCUUAAAGUAAGACAUCAUUUUAAUCGGUAUAGUGUACAGAUUCAGAAAAGCUAAGAAAUUUUAAUAUAUCGCAUAUAAAGUUUUGCCUUAAGGGUGCUAUAAACAGUUUCGUAUAAAAAAAAUAGGGGUUAUUCCCCGACUAAAAAUAACCAUGGAGGGAAACCCCUGUUUAUUUACUCAAUUGGUGAAAAAGUAUCAUGUUUUUUGUAUUUGAUUGUAAAAAUUAGUUAAUUAGCUUUCAAUUAAAACAGGUUGAAUGAUUGAAAUAAUUUUAAAAAUUAUAUUAACUUUACAUGUUUUGAGGGGAGACAACACUGUAAACAUCCUGUUUUUUUGGCAGUGAAAAUUGAAAACUUAUUUGCAGCCACUGUAGCUCUUUUCGGAGCAGGAAACCGUACCCUGAAACAAGAUUUUUUUGAAAGGCCAGGUAAAAACCUACAAAUUUCAUACAGUUUUGAUUAUGUAAAAUGUGCAUGGAUCAUGUCUUCAUGGGUGUGCACAUGACCUGGUUUCAAGUUUUUUAUGUUCAAAUUAGACCUUUUUUCCCCCAUGUUCAUUGGAUGGAAUAUUUUUAAUAUAUUAAAAGUACACAUUAUUUUUAUUUCAUUAUAAACUAGAGAACAUUCUGAUUCCAGUGAUAUCUAGUUUUAUACAAGUAUCUUUAUUAAUCAGUCCACCACUAAGGGUCACUUAUGCAUGGUCCCUCAAAAUGUGACGUCAUAGAAAAAAACUGUUGAUUGCACCCUUA
rnacentral:lncRNA from 1 species